AAAUCAAAACAAAUGAACAAACAAACAAAAAAAACAGAAACAGAUUCAUGAAUAGAGAACAAUUUGGUGGUUGCCAGCAGGGUUCUUCCAGCCAGGGACCCUACGUAGGAGAAGCGUGAAGCACCAUGGGGUUUGCACGUCUUUGGCUUUACUAAUCAUUGCCAAAUGUCCCUUCAAAAGUGGCUGUGCCAGAUGAGAAAUCUGAAGCAAAGAGAAGUUAAAUAACUUGGCCAGAUUACUCAGCCAGCAAAUGGUGCAGUUAGGACUGAAGCCCAGCUCCGUAACUCCACACUCCACAGGCUGAUCUUCUU